rnacentral:misc_RNA from 1 species
UCCGGCUUGACGCCGGCAGUCCCCCGAGAGUCCUCAGCAUGACCUGUUAGUAACACGGGGCAAGGGUUGCGCUCGUUGCGGGACUUAACCCAACAUCUCACGACACGAGCUGACGACAGCCAUGCACCACCUGUACACCUGCCCCGAAGGGCUGCCGUAUUUCUACGACAUUCAGGUGCAUGUCAAGCCCAGGUAAGGUUCUUCGCGUUGCGUCGAAUUAAGCCACAUACUCCACCGCUUGUGCAGGCCCCCGUCAAUUUCUUUGAGUUUUAAUCUUGCGACCGUACUCCCCAGGCGGAUGACUUCACGCGUUAGCUGCGUUACUAAGGGAUUUAACUCCCCCAACAACUAGUCAUCAUCGUUUAGGGCGUGGACUAC